rnacentral:rRNA from 1 species
AAUUCGAUUAGAGUUUGAUCCUGGCUCAGGACGAACGCUGGCGGCGUGCCUAACACAUGCAAGUCGAACGGGGUAUUAGCAAUAAUACCUAGUGGCGAACGGGUGAGUAACGCGUGAGCAACCUGACCUUUUGAGGGGGAUAACAACCGGAAACGGUUGCUAAUACCGCAUAAGACCACACUGCCACAUGGCAGAGGGGUCAAAGGAGUAAUCCGCAGAAGGAGGGGCUCGCGUCCCAUUAGAUAGUUGGUGAGGUAACGGCCCACCAAGUCAGCGAUGGGUAGCCGAGCUGAGAGGCUGAUCGGCCACACUGGAACUGAGACACGGUCCAGACUCCUACGGGAGGCAGCAGUGGGGAAUAUUGGGCAAUGGGGGAAACCCUGACCCAGCAACGCCGCGUGAGGGAAGAAGGCUUUCGGGUUGUAAACCUCUGUCGCAGGGGAAGAAACAAAUGACGGUACCCUGUGAGGAAGCCCCGGCUAACUACGUGCCAGCAGCCGCGGUAAUACGUAGGGGGCGAGCGUUGUCCGGAAUUACUGGGCGUAAAGGGUGCGUAGGUGGCAAUUUAAGUUGGAUGUGAAAUCCCCGGGCUUAACCUGGGUGGUGCAUUCAAAACUGGAUAGCUAGAGUGCAGGAGAGGGAAGCGGAAUUCCUAGUGUAGCGGUGAAAUGCGUAGAUAUUAGGAGGAACACCAGUGGCGAAGGCGGCUUUCUGGACUGUAACUGACACUGAGGCACGAAAGCGUGGGGAGCAAACAGGAUUAGAUACCCUGG